GAUGAACGCUGGCGGCGUGCCUAAUACAUGCAAGUCGAGCGAACGGACGAGAAGCUUGCUUCUCUGAUGUUAGCGGCGGACGGGUGAGUAACACGUGGAUAACCUACCUAUAAGACUGGGAUAACUUCGGGAAACCGGAGCUAAUUCCGGAUAAUAUUUUGAACCGCAUGGUUCAAAAGUGAAAGACGGUCUUUCUGUCACUUAUAGAUGGAUCGGCUCUGCAUUAGCUAGUUGGUAGGGUAACGGCUUACCAAGGCAACGAUGCAUAGCCGACCUGAGAGGAUGAUCGGCCACACUGGAACUGAGACACGGUCCAGACUCCUACGGGAGGCAGCAGUAGGGAAUCUUCCGCAAUGGGCGAAAGCCUGACGGAGCAACGCCGCGUGAGUGAUGAAGGUCUUCGGAUCGUAAAACUCUGUUAUUAGGGAAGAACAUAUGUGUAAGUAACUGUGCACAUCUUGACGGUACCUAAUCAGAAAGCCACGGCUAACUACGUG
rnacentral:rRNA from 1 species